GACUGUGUUCAAUUAAGAUCGGGUUUGAUUUCUUUGGGUGCUGCGUGGAAUGGGAAUUUUUGAAGAAAUGGGUUUCUGUGGUAAUCUUGAUUUUCUAUCGGCUCCACCAGGGGAAGGAGAGGUGGCUCCUGAAAAUGAACCAGAGGCAACUGUGGAGGAGGAUUAUUCUGAUGAGGAGAUGGAUGUUGAUGAGCUUGAGAGGAGGAUGUGGAGGGAUCGCAUGCUGCUGAGGCGGCUUAAAGAACAAAACAAGGGUAAGGAGGGAGUGGACAAUGCUAAGCAGCGCCAGUCCCAGGAGCAAGCUCGAAGGAAGAAGAUGUCCCGAGCACAGGAUGGGAUACUGAAAUACAUGCUGAAAAUGAUGGAAGUUUGUAAAGCUCAGGGUUUUGUCUAUGGUAUCAUUCCCGAGAAGGGGAAACCAGUGAGCGGAGCAUCUGACAAUCUCCGGGCAUGGUGGAAGGAGAAGGUGAGGUUUGAUCGGAAUGGCCCUGCUGCGAUUGCGAAAUACCAGGCUGAUCAUUCAAUUCCUGGAAAGAAUGAGGACUGCAAUACAAUGGCAUCCACCCCCCAUACCCUGCAGGAGCUACAAGACACCACACUUGGAUCACUUUUGUCAGCUUUGAUGCAGCACUGCGACCCACCUCAGAGGCGGUUCCCAUUGGAGAAGGGUAUUGCACCACCUUGGUGGCCUACUGGGAAUGAAGAAUGGUGGCCUCAAUUGGGAUUGCCCAAAGAUCAGGGUCCUCCCCCAUACAAGAAGCCUCAUGAUCUAAAGAAGGCUUGGAAGGUCAGUGUUCUCACUGCAGUGAUCAAGCACAUGUCCCCUGACAUUGCUAAGAUCCGCAAGCUUGUUCGUCAGUCUAAAUGCUUGCAGGAUAAGAUGACUGCCAAAGAGAGUGCCACUUGGCUGGCCAUUAUCAACCAGGAAGAGGCGUUGUCCCGAAAACUGUAUCCUGACAGCUGCCCACCUGUGCCUUUGGCUGGUGGGAGUGGAUCUUUUGUCAUCAGUGACACCAGUGAUUAUGAUGUUGAGGGUGUGGAAGAUGAGGCCAACAUUGAAGUGGAGGAGUGCAAGCCCCGUGAUGUCAAUCUCUUCAAUUUAGGCGUAGGAGCCAGAGAUAGGCUUAUGGUGCCACCACUGGCUCCUUCGAUCAAGGGAGAGCUUGUAGAGACCAACUCAGAUUUCAUCCAGAAGAGGAAGCAGCCACCUGAUGAGCCGCAUAUAAUGAUGGAUCAGAAAAUGUAUACCUGUGAAUACACUCAAUGCCCCUACAACAAUUACCGUCUUGCGUUUCUCGACAGGGCAUCCAGAAACAAUCAUCAGAUGAAUUGUCUAUACAGGAGUAAUUCUUCACAAGGGUUUGGAAUGUCGAAUUUCCAAAUUAACAAUGAGAAACCAGCAGCCUUCUCUCUACCCUUUGCUCAACCCAAGGCAGCAGCUCCACCAGUGAACCAGUCUCCUGCUUUCAAUGUUUCAGGACUUGGACUUCCAGAAGAUGGGCAAAAAAUGAUUUCUGACCUAAUGUCAUUCUAUGACACAAAUCUCCAGCGAAACAAGAGCUUGAAUCCUGGGAACCUUAAUGUUAUGGAAGAUCAAAAUCAGCCGCAGCAGCAGCAGCAGCAGCAGAAGUUUCAACUUCAGCUAGAUGAUAACUUCUUCAAUCAGGGGGUUAUGAUGGGUGGCAACAUCACUGAAGAAACAAACAUGCCCUUAAAUCAUUCUGUUUUCUCGUCAAGUGAGAUCCAGUUUGAUCAGUGUAAAGCAUUUGAUUCUCCAUUUGACACCAACCCAAAUGACAACAUUGCUGACUUUAGAUUUGGGUCUCCAUUCAACUUGGCAGCAGUAGAUUAUACGGUGGACCCACUGCCAAAGCAGGAUGUAUCCAUGUGGUACCUUUGAAAACACAAACAGGCAUCCCAUCUUAGAGCUAUCUGCGGAAGUUGGGGAGAGGGGGCCUCUGGUGGAAGGAAUGGGAUAAAGCUGUAUAUUCUGGGAGGAAGAUCAUCUUUGCCUUUAGUGUCUGCUGGGCACGGGGUGAAGUGUUGUUCCUUC
rnacentral:lncRNA from 1 species